rnacentral:rRNA from 1 species
CCUACGGGAGGCAGCAGUAAGGAAUAUUGGUCAAUGGACGAAAGUCUGAACCAGCCAUGCCGCGUGAAGGAUUAAGGCCCUCUGGGUUGUAAACUUCUUUUAUCUGGGACGAAAAAAGGGUAUUCUUACUCACUUGACGGUACCAGAGGAAUAAGCACCGGCUAACUCCGUGCCAGCAGCCGCGGUAAUACGGAGGGUGCAAGCGUUAUCCGGAUUUACUGGGUUUAAAGGGUGCGUAGGUGGGCUUGUAAGUCAGUGGUGAAAUCUCCGGGCUUAACCCGGAAACUGCCAUUGAUACUAUAGGUCUUGAAUUAUCUGGAGGUAAGCGGAAUAUGUCAUGUAGCGGUGAAAUGCUUAGAUAUGACAUAGAACACCAAUUGCGAAGGCAGCUUACUACGGAUAUAUUGACACUGAGGCACGAAAGCGUGGGGAUCAAACAGGAUUAGAUACCCUGGUAGUCCACGCCCUAAACGAUGGAUACUCGACAUCAGCGAUACACUGUUGGUGUCUGAGNGAAGANAUAUAUCCACCNCGGAGUACGAUCGCAGAGUAGAACGUACGAAGUAAGUAGUAGACGUGUAGAGAGACGACGACGACGACGACGGAGGAGGAGG